AGCGAAUCCCCCACCGCCUGCCAUCGACAUAGCUUCCACCCGUGAGUUUCGUAAGGAUCUUGUGUAAGGCUGUUGUUACAUAGUCUUCAAUGGCUAUUACAUAUAUAUGUAGUAGCUAUCUACAGUGUUUCCAGAAGUCCGGAAAAUUGUCAGUCGCUCACGUCGCAUGUGAAGAUGUAUCCGAAAAGAAAAAGUGCAAUGGAUAGUCAAAUUAUUUCGGCAGAAAUUGCUUUAGGUCUUGUUCUGUGUACAGCAUAUCGGAUAAUUUCGAAGAACAUUUUCAGUCAACAGGAGGAGAGUCAACCUGUUGACAGUGAACAGUUUGAGCUAACAAGGUCACUAGUGUGUGUAUGGCUUGCAAGCAACAUAAAGUUCCUACUCAUUAAAUGCAACAGCAAUCCAGUUUCACUGUCUGCACAUUCAACAUCCAGGCUGAUUGCAUUUCUGGCACUUCUACUGGAUAGCUGCUACGGAAUUAAUUAUCAGAGACUAUAUACUAACGAACGGCCUACAGUGGACAUGGCCAUGUGUUCUUUCUUCAUAGUGAGCAGUGUUGUCCUCUUCUUUUUGGACCACAGCCAGCUGCAGAGCAGAGUGGACUUGCGCAUGAUCUUCAGUGACUCUCAGAAGUUCUUCCUUCAGAUGGACUUUUUUGCCACCUUUGUCUUUGGCCUCCUCUGGCUGGCCUUCCCCGAUUGGCUCCUAGGAUUCCAGCCCAUUACAGGUUCUGAGGACACCUUCCAUCUUCACCUCAGUAGAGCCUUUGGCGCCAUGAUGGUGGGUGACAGUUUUGUCUCUUUUACAACACAGAAUUUCCAACCCAACAAAGAAAAGCCAUCCGUGUUCAUAAGCCGAGCAGUGGUAUGUGAUAUUUCAGCAAUCUCUUUUUUUUAUUUUAUUUUAAUUAAUUUUUUUACAAUAGAGAGUUCUGGGCCUGUUUGGCCCUGUCCGGGGGUGUCCUCGGAUGGGUCCACAGUGUCUCCUGACCCCUCCUGUCUCAGCCUCCAGUAUUUAUGCUGCAGUAGUUUAUGUGUCGGGGGGCUAGGGUCAGUUUGUUAUAUCUGGAGUACUUCUCCUGUCCUAUUCGGUGUCCUGUGUGAGUCUACGUGUGCGUUCUCUAAUUCUCUCCUUCUCUCUCUCGGAGGACCUGAGCCCUAGGACCAUGCCCCAGGACUACCUGACAUGAUGACUCCUUGCUGUCCCCAGUCCAUCUGAACGUGCUGCUGCUCCAGUUUCAACUGUUCUGCCUUAUUAUUAUUCGAACAUGCUGAUCAUUUAUGAACAUUUGAACAUCUUGGCCAUGUUCUGUUAUAAUCUCCACCCGGCACAGCCAGAAGAGGACUGGCCACCCCACAUAGCCUGGUUCCUCUCUAGGUUUCUUCCUAGGUUUUGGCCUUUCUAGGGAGUUUUUCCUAGCCACCGUGCUUCUACACCUGCAUUGCUUGCUGUUUGGGGUUUUAGGCUGGGUUUCUGUACAGCACUUUGAGAUAUCAGCUGAUGUACGAAGGGCUAUAUAAAUACAUUUGAUUUGAUUUGAUUUGAUUUCUGAUGCUUCCAUAUAAAUACAUAGAAUCAAUUGAGAAUAACACCCCAUCAUACACACCCCUCCCCACCCACAAAAUAAGUUAAUGUCAGGCAAAGCUAUGACUAGGUGGCAGUUUCACACAAUGAAGGCCUACAUGCCAUGCUCCUCCCUAUUCUGACUUGAGACCUGCAUGCUUAACUGGAAUUAUCAUGCAAGUCUGCCAUUGAUGUCACUGAAUAAUUUAUGUGAAAGGUGACUGCAGUGUUUUCUCUUGGUUUUUCAGGGCAGCUUGGUGCUGCUGGUGUUCCUGGUCCACUCUCAGCUGACCACCUCUGCCUGGGCCCCUGCCCAGAUCUGGUUUGGCCUGGUGGGAGCCAGCCUCUGGACAGGAAACUCCAUCUUAGGUUACCUCAGCUCUAAACAACAAAAUAUGUAAGAAGUCCAUUCACAUAGACACUGAACACAACAGUCACAACAUAACAGGCAGAAGUUACAUUGAACCCUCUUCUGUGUCCCACAAGACUGUUAGCCGCUUAAGUGAAGUUGAUCACGUGAGCAUGGUUAAUCAAACCACAGCUGUUGCACAGAAAGCAGAGGCAGAUUCUCUGGGAACCUGGAGUGACUUAGAAUGAGUGAUUAUUUAUUGUUAAACAAUUUCCAUCCUAUGUUGUUCAGUCUUAUGAUUUUCAUACUUCACCAUGAAUGAGAUGGUGAUGGUCAUUGCUGACAGAGGUGGAAAGAGACUCUUUGGAAAUCUAAAUGUCUAAAUAUACUGUACUGUACAUUUGUAAAUGUGUAACUCCUCUGAGAGGAGGUUAGAAGCCAUCGGAGAUUGUAAAAGACACUUGACCCCACCAUUCCACUGUACAGAAGUGAAUAGUAAGUAUGCAGGCUCAGCCUUAGAAACAUAAUUAUGAAAUAACUUUUUAGUAACUAUUGAUGGGAAGCGUGGAGGUGUUGUAGCUGCACCCAUAUGACUAAAUAGAUGUAACUGACGUUGAAAUUCUGUCAAGGAAUAAAAGUGAAGGGAAAUGUUACUCAGAAACAUUGUGAUAUUCUAAUCUAGUGCUUCCUUUUUAUUUAUCCUGCUCCAAGGCUUGAACUCUCUGUAACCACUAGAUGGUGCUAUGCACAUGGCCAUGGAGUGCCUCUGAAUGGAUUUGAAUCAUAGGGAAUCUAGCUUUUAAUAGCCCAUCGUUCCUAUCAUUAUAUUUCCAUGACAUAGUCU
rnacentral:lncRNA from 1 species